GGGGGCGAACUAGAUUCGACGGGGAUGAACGGGGUGUUGGAACGCGAGCCGAGGUCCUGUUCCUCGCUAAACAGCAGGAAAACAAUAAGUGCCAACAACACUGAAGAAAACUACGCUUUAGCUGCUUAAUCCCAGCUAACGCCUGAAUCCCAAGCUCCUACCUUCGGAUUCGUGGCGUAAAAAUGUAGGAUACCUCGGUAUCAAGUCCGGGAUAUCGAGGGAAAUGAAGGACUGGCCGCAUGGAUGCCGCGCCGNNUCCGGCACGACGUAUCUUCGGACGGGACGGGCAGCACGUCCCCGCCUCCACCA
rnacentral:tmRNA from 1 species